GACGAGCCUCACGAACGUUAUUCGGAAUUACUGGGCUUAAAGGGUGCGUAGGCGGCGCGACAAGUUGGGUGUGAAAUACCUCGGCUCAACCGAGGAACUGCGCCCAAAACUAUCGUGCUCGAGGGAGAUAGAGGUGAGCGGAACUUACGGUGGAGCGGUGAAAUGCGUUGAUAUCGUAAGGAACACCCGUGGCGAAAGCGGCUCACUGGGUCUUCUCUGACGCUGAUGCACGAAAGCUAGGGGAGCAAACGGG
rnacentral:rRNA from 1 species